UACGGGGGGUGCAAGCGUUGUUCGGAAUUAUUGGGCGUAAAGAGCGUGUAGGCGGCUUGAUAAGUCAGAUGUGAAAGCCCUGGGCUUAACCCAGGAAGUGCAUUUGAAACUGUCUCGCUAGAAUAAGGGAGGGGGAAGUGGAAUUCCUGGUGUAGAGGUGGAAUUCGUAGAUAUCAGGAGGAACACCGGUGGCGAAGGCGACUUCCUGGCCCUAUAUUGACGCUGAGACGCGAGAGCGUGGGUAGCAAACAGGAUUAGAUACCCUGGUAGUCCACGCCGUAAACGAUGUUCACUAGGUGUUGGGGGUAUUGACCCCCUCAGUGCCGGAGCUAACGCAUUAAGUGAACCGCCUGGGGAGUACGGUCGCAAGACUA
rnacentral:rRNA from 1 species